UUAAGUUAAUAAGGGCGCACGGUGGAUGCCUUGGCACUAGAAGCCGAUGAAGGACGUGACUAACGACGAAAUGCUUUGGGUAGCUGUAAGUGAGCAAUGAUCCAGAGAUGUCCGAAUGGGGGAACCCGGCAGGUAAUGCCUGUCACUCAUUACUGUUAAGGUAAUGUAGAGGAAGACGCAGUGAACUGAAACAUCUAAGUAGCUGCAGGAAGAGAAAGCAAAAGCGAUUGCCUUAGUAGCGGCGAGCGAAACGGCAAGAGGGCAAACCGAAGAGUUUACUCUUCGGGGUUGUAGGACUGCAACGUGGACUUAAAGAUUAUAGAAGAACUACCUGGGAAGGUAGGCCAAAGAGAGUAAUAGCCUCGUAUUCGAAAUAGUCUUUAUACCUAGCAGUAUCCUGAGUACGGCGAGACACGAGAAAUCUCGUCGGAAUCUGGGAGGACCAUCUCCCAACCCUAAAUACUCUCUAGUGACCGAUAGUGAACCAGUACCGUGAGGGAAAGGUGAAAAGCACCCCGGGAGGGGAGUGAAAUAGAACCUGAAACCGUGUGCCUACAACAAGUUCGAGCCCGUUAAUGGGUGAGAGCGUGCCUUUUGUAGAAUGAACCGGCGAGUUACGAUAUGAUGCGAGGUUAAGUUGAAGAGACGGAGCCGUAGGGAAACCGAGUCUUAAUAGGGCGUAUUAGUAUCAUGUCGUAGACCCGAAACCAUGUGACCUACCCAUGAGCAGGUUGAAGGUGAGGUAAAACUCACUGGAGGACCGAACCAGGGCACGUUGAAAAGUGCUUGGAUGACUUGUGGGUAGCGGAGAAAUUCCAAACGAACUUGGAGAUAGCUGGUUCUCUCCGAAAUAGCUUUAGGGCUAGCGUCGAUGUUAAGUCUCUUGGAGGUAGAGCACUGUUUGGGUGAGGGGUCCAUCCCGGAUUACCAAUCUCAGAUAAACUCCGAAUGCCAACGAGAUAUAAUCGGCAGUCAGACUGCGAGUGCUAAGAUCCGUAGUCGAAAGGGAAACAGCCCAGACCACCAGCUAAGGUCCCAAAAUAUAUGUUAAGUGGAAAAGGAUGUGGGGUUGCACAGACAACUAGGAUGUUAGCUUAGAAGCAGCUAUUCAUUCAAAGAGUGCGUAAUAGCUCACUAGUCGAGUGACCCUGCGCCGAAAAUGUACCGGGGCUAAAACAUAUUACCGAAGCUGUGGAUACCUUUAUAGGUAUGGUAGGAGAGCGUUCUAUGUGCGAAGAAGGUGUACCGUGAGGAGUGCUGGAGCGCAUAGAAGUGAGAAUGCCGGUAUGAGUAGCGAAAGACAGGUGAGAAUCCUGUCCACCGUAAGACUAAGGUUUCCAGGGGAAGGCUCGUCCGCCCUGGGUUAGUCGGGACCUAAGGAGAGACCGAAAGGUGUAUCCGAUGGACAACAGGUUGAUAUUCCUGUACUAGAGUAUAUAGUGAUGGAGGGACGCAGUAGGCUAACUAAACCAGACGAUUGGAAGUGUCUGGCCAAGCAGUGAGGUGUGAUAUGAGUCAAAUGCUUAUAUCUAUAACAUUGAGCUGUGAUGGGGAGCGAAGUUUAGUAGCGAAGUUAGUGAUGUCACACUGCCGAGAAAAGCUUCUAGCGUUAAUUAUACUCUACCCGUACCGCAAACCGACACAGGUAGUCGAGGCGAGUAGCCUCAGGUGAGCGAGAGAACUCUCGUUAAGGAACUCGGCAAAAUGGCCCCGUAACUUCGGGAGAAGGGGCGCUGACUUAUGGUCAGCCGCAGUGAAUAGGCCCAAGCAACUGUUUAUCAAAAACACAGCUCUCUGCUAAAUCGUAAGAUGAUGUAUAGGGGGUGACGCCUGCCCGGUGCUGGAAGGUUAAGAGGAGUGCUUAGCAAUAGCGAAGGUAUGAAUUGAAGCCCCAGUAAACGGCGGCCGUAACUAUAACGGUCCUAAGGUAGCGAAAUUCCUUGUCGGGUAAGUUCC
rnacentral:rRNA from 1 species